rnacentral:lncRNA from 1 species
UCCACUCAUUGUAUACCAUGUUUUUAAGCCCGCCCAAUAUAAUUCCACACAAAAGCAGAACUCCUACUGCGUGUUAGUUUUGGAUGAUGAUGAUGAUGAUGAUGACCUUAAAAUCUUAUUGAUGACGACCUUAAAAUCUUUCCUAUACUUUAUGAAGGAAAGUUAUAUGAUAUCAUUUGAUUGAUUGAAUGAAUGGAUUAUCUACUUUUCUAUGCAAAUAUAUUUUAU